rnacentral:tRNA from 1 species
GAGGGUAUAGCUUAGUGGUAGAGUGUGUGCUUAGCAUGCACAAGGUCCUGGAUUCAAUCCCCAGGACCUCCA